CAGCCGCCGCGGGAAUACGAAGGGUGCAAGCGUUAAUCGGAAUUACUGGGCGUAAAGCGUGCGUAGGCGGUGAGUUAAGUCUGCUGUGAAAUCCCCGGGCUCAACCUGGGAAUGGCAGUGGAUACUGGCUCGCUAGAGUGUGUCAGAGGAUGGUGGAAUUCCCGGUGUAGCGGUGAAAUGCGUAGAGAUCGGGAGGAACAUCAGUGGCGAAGGCGGCCAUCUGGGACAACACUGACGCUGAGGCACGAAAGCGUGGGGAGCAAACAGGAUUAGAGACCCGAGUAGUCCCUGUCUCUUAUAC
rnacentral:rRNA from 1 species